rnacentral:rRNA from 1 species
GUGGGGAAUAUUGGACAAUGGGCGGAAGCCUGAUCCAGCAACGCCGCGUGAGGGAUGACGGCCUUCGGGUUGUAAACCUCUUUCAGCACAGACGAAGCGCCUGUGAAGGUGGUGACGGUAUGUGCAGAAGAAGCACCGGCCAACUACGUGCCAGCAGCCGCGGUAAUACGUAGGGUGCGAGCGUUGUCCGGAAUUAUUGGGCGUAAAGGGCUCGUAGGCGGUUUGUCGCGUCGGGAGUGAAAUCCACUGGCUUAACUGGUGGCUUGCUUUCGAUACGGGCAGACUGGAGGUAUGCAGGGGAGAACGGAAUUCCUGGUGUAGCGGUGAAAUGCGCAGAUAUCAGGAGGAACACCGGUGGCGAAGGCGGUUCUCUGGGCAUGUCCUGACGCUGAGGAGCGAAAGUGUGGGGAGCGAACAGGAUUAGAUACCCGAGUAGUCC